rnacentral:rRNA from 1 species
ACACGCAUGACACACUGCAUAUCAAUAAGCGGAGGAAAAGAAACUAACAAGGAUUCCCCUAGUAACGGCGAGUGAAGCGGGAAGAGCUCAAAUUUGAAAUCUUAAAGGGUUUCCCUUUACGAAUUGUAGUUUAAAGAAGUGUUUUCUGUUGGAGUUUCGGUAAAAGUUCUUUGGAAUAGGACAUCAUAGAGGGUGAGAAUCCCGUAUUUGACCGUUACUUUCCAGCUGUGUGAUACACUUUCAAAGAGUCGGAUUGUUUGGGAAUGCAGUCCAAAAUGGGUGGUAAAUUUCAUCUAAAGCUAAAUAUUGGCGAGAGACCGAUAGCGAACUAAGUACCGUGAGGGAAAGAUGAAAAGAACUUUGAAAAGAGAGUUAAACAGUACGUGAAAUUGUCAAAAGGGAAGCGUUUGACACCAGUGUUGUUUAGUUGAAAAUCAAUUCAAUAAUUUUCGAUUUUGAGUAGUAUUGACUUCAUCAGCUUGCUGCUUUCUUUUCGGAAAUUAUUGAAUGCACUUUUCAGUUAACAAGUCAACAUCAAUUUCUUUUGUUGUAAAAGGGUAAGAGGAAGGUGGCUUACGCUUCGGCGUAAGUGUUUAUAGCCUUUUACCUCUGCAAUCGGAGAGAUUGAGGACAGCAGCGUAGACUCUUCGGGGUUAGAUACACUUGUGCUAAGCUAUAGCCUUGUAUAGACAACUUGUUGACUAUGCUCAGUCAUGUAGCUUACUCGCUUGUGCUAUUUUACCUACGCUUAGGAUGUUGACUGAUAUGUAGUCGUA